UACACAAUAUCAAUUUAAAAUUUAACAAUGUACUAAUUAGAUAAAAUAGAUAGACUUCUUUCAUUAAAAUCCAUAAACUUUUAAUACUAACAUUUUUAACCAUUAUAUAUUAAAACAUAAUAACCUUUAUACACAAUCUAUGUACAUGCCACCUUUACCAAAGGAAAAAUACAUCACCAAGUUUUGCCGAAGCCGGGAUUAAUCUGGAUGCUGAACCGGGACCUUUGACUUCUAUCGACCUACGCACGGAAACAACUGUACGCUGAGUAAUUCAUACUCAGUGGUAUUACCAUAAUUCAAAUUAUAACAAUAAUGUACAUGUAAUGCAUAAAUCGUAUAUACAAUUUAAAUUCAAUAUUUCAACAAUAGCAAAUCAUCAACCAAUAUCGUAUAUCCACAAUUUGAGUUUGAAUAAAUCACGAACCUUAGGUUCAUUUCUCAAUCUCAUUUCACAUUUCAAUUCACAAUUCAAUUUUUUCAUAUCAUUUCAAUAGCUCGUUUGACCAACUCGUUCGGUUUAUCAUUUCAUCAUUUACCCUAUUAACAAAACUCGGACUUUGGCGGAUACACGGAUCCAACCAAACACACCAGAAUGGCACCCAGUGCCUCAUCGGAUAGUUCGAAGCAAUAGUUGACACCCAGUGUCUCAUCGGCAAAGCCGAAGAAAGUUGGUACCCAGUACCUCAUCGAAUCUAUCCGAAGAAAUAUAGUGACACCCAGUGUCUCAUCGACUCGAGGUCGAAGUAUCCCUGAACUCUUCCAAUCCUAUGGCAUGCCAACUAUAUCCGACUCAGCCCGACUAGUUAAUAGGGUAUUUAAAUCACAUAUAUUCUCAAUUCAAUCACAAUUUCUCACACUUUCAAUUCAAUCAUUUUUCCACCUUCAAUCAAUAAUUAUUUCACAAAUUCACACAUUUUCACAACUCAAAACAUUUCCAUACAAUUUAAUACCAUUCACAAUUCGAUUCAAAUUCAUUUCCCGCUUUCAAUCAACAAACAAUUCAAAUAUUAAUUCAUAUAAACUAUUCAAUUUAAUUCCCACUCAUAAUAAUAAUAAUACUAAUAAUAAAUUAAUACUAAUAUUAUACUUACCUCACAUUUCAUUUACUAGACACAUAAAUUAAAAUUUAGCAUUUAAUAAUAAAUAACUUGAAUUAUAGUAAUACAAACCGUUAUUCUCCCGUUUUAGUCCUCGAUAACUUUCUCCUUUCCUUUUGACGCCGAUGCCUCGGGUUCUUUGUUAGCAAUCAAAGCUUUAAACCUUAAACCUUCAAUUUUUCCUUUUUCUUUCUUUUUUCUUCUUUCUCCCCUGUUUCUUCUCUAUUUCGUCUUUUGCUAUUCUGUUUCUUUCUUCUUUUGUUUCUUUUAUUCUUUUAUUUUAACUUACUUUACUUUAUUUCCUUUAUUUUAUUUCUUUUGUUUUCUUUUAUUUAAUUACUUUAAUAUAAUAAUUAAAACAAAUAUCUAUUUAGUAAUUAAAUAUAAGUAUUACAAAUGUAUGUAUUUUAUUAAUACACUUGCAUUAAAUAUCACCAUACAUUUGUCUUUAUUUAAUUUAUUUCUUAAUAUAAUAUUUAUAAUAUAAUUAAUUUAAUAAUAUCCUUUAU
rnacentral:lncRNA from 1 species